rnacentral:lncRNA from 1 species
UCAACAUCAGAUAUUGUAAUAUUAAGAUGGAUUGCUUAUAUCAAACUAUUAAAUGUAGAAUUUAGGAAUCUUAUUAGAAAGGAUAAUUAAGUGGCGGACAUGUUGUAUUGAAUAAGAUAUGGAAGAAAAUAUGAGAUGGUUGAAGACAUUAAUGAUGUAAGAUCAAAAUUCUAUUUAUCAAAUUUUAUCAAAAAAGAUAAGUUAUUCUUUGAAAAGCUUCAUGAAAAAAAAUUAUUAGAUAUUGGUUAUUAUUUAAGUAUCUUAACGAAUCAAAAAAAUUAGUCUAUCAAAAAAUUUAAACAAAUAAGAAUAAAGG